AUAAUGAUACUUCCGUAAGGCUCGCCGUAAACUUGGGGAGAGGUGAAAUUCCUAUGU
rfam:Enterococcus faecalis V583, complete genome.